GGGCGGCCUCCGUGUGCCAAAAAUAGGCCACGGGCACAGCCGCGCCCAAAAAUCAGCCCCCGAAGGUCGGGGUCACAAGACCCCCCAGCGGAAAAAAGGCCAAGAAACGCGUGGGCUAUAGCCUUGGUGGGGGGCGUGGGUGAAGUUCGUCCGCGGGACUCGGAAUGGCACCAUACUUGGCGGGCGGCCUCCGUGUGCCAAAAAUAGGCCACGGGCACAGCCGCGCCCAAAAAUCAGCCCCCGAAGGUCGGGGUCCCAAGACCCCCCAGCGGAAAAAUGGCCAAAAAACGGGUGGGCUAUAGCCUUGGUGGGGGGCGUGGGCGAAGUUCGUCCGCGGGACUCGGAAUGGCCCCAGACUUGGCGGGCGGCCUCCGUGUGCCAAAAAUAGGCCACGGGCACAGCCGCGGCCAAAAAUCAGCCCCCGAAGGUCGGGGUCCCAAGACCCCCCAGCGGAAAAAUGGCCAAGAAACGCGUGGGCUAUAGCCUUGGUGGGGGGCGUGGGCGAAGUUCGUCCGCGGGACUCGGAAUGGCCCCAGACUUGGCGGGCGGCCUCCGUGUGCCAAAAAUAGGCCACGGGCACAGCCGCGCCCAAAAAUCAGCCCCCGAAGGUCGGGGUCCCAAGACCCCCCAGCGGAAAAAUGGCCAAGAAACGGGUGGGCUAUAGCCUUGGUGGGGGGCGUGGGCGAAGUUCGUCCGCGGGACUCGGAAUGGCCCCAGACUUGGCGGGCGGCCUCCGUGUGCCAAAAAUAGGCCACGGGCACAGCCGCGCCCAAAAAUCAGCCCCCGAAGGUCGGGGUCACAAGACCCCCCAGCGGAAAAAAGGCUAAGAAACGCGUGGGCUAUAGCCUUGGUGGGGGGCGUGGGCGAAGUUCGUCCGCGGGACUCGGAAUGGCACCAUACUUGGCGGGCGGCCUCCGUGUGCCAAAAAUAGGCCACGGGCACAGCCGCGCCCAAAAAUCAGCCCCCGAAGGUCGGGGUCCCAAGACCCCCCAGCGGAAAAAUGGCCAAAAAACGGGUGGGCUAUAGCCUUGGUGGGGGGCGUGGGCGAAGUUCGUCCGCGUGACUCGGAAUGGCCCCAGACUUGGCGGGCGGCCUCCGUGUGCCAAAAAUAGGCCACGGGCACAGCCGCGCCCAAAAAUCAGCCCCCGAAGGUCGGGGUCCCAAGACCCCCCAGCGGAAAAAUGGCCAAGAAACGCGUGGGCUAUAGCCUUGGUGGGGGGCGUGGGCGAAGUUCGUCCGCGGGACUCGGAAUGGCCCCAGACUUGGCGGGCGGCCUCCGUGUGCCAAAAAUAGGCCACGGGCACAGCCGCGCCCAAAAAUCAGCCCCCGAAGGUCGGGGUCACAAGACCCCCCAGCGGAAAAAAGGCCAAGAAACGCGUGGGCUAUAGCCUUGGUGGGGGGCGUGGGUGAAGUUCGUCCGCGGGACUCGGAAUGGCACCAUACUUGGCGGGCGGCCUCCGUGUGCCAAAAAUAGGCCACGGGCACAGCCGCGCCCAAAAAUCAGCCCCCGAAGGUCGGGGUCCCAAGCCCCCCCAGCGGAAAAAUGGCCAAGAAACGCGUGGGCUAUAGCCUUGGUGGGGGGCGUGGGCGAAGUUCGUCCGCGGGACUCGGAAUGGCCCCAGACUUGGCGGGCGGCCUCCGUGUGCCAAAAAUAGGCCACGGGCACAGCCGGGCCCAAAAAUCAGCCCCCGAAGGUCGGGGUCACAAGGACCCCCCAGCGGAAAAAAGGCCAAGAAACGGGUGGGCUAUAGCCUUGGUGGGGGGCGUGGGCGAAGUUCGUCCGCGGGACUCGGAAUGGCACCAUACUUGGCGGGCGGCCUCCGUGUGCCAAAAAUAGGCCACGGGCACAGCCGCGCCCAAAAAUCAGCCCCCGAAGUUCGGGGUCCCAAGACCCCCCAGCGGAAAAAUGGCCAAAAAACGGGUGGGCUAUAGCCUUGGUGGGGGGCGUGGGCGAAGUUCGUCCGCGGGACUCGAAAUGGCCCCAGACUUGGCGGGCGGCCUCCGUGUGCCAAAAAUAGGCCACGGGCACAGCCGCGCCCAAAAAUCAGCCCCCGAAGGUCGGGGUCCCAAGACCCCCCAGCGGAAAAAUGGCCAAGAAACGCGUGGGCUAUAGCCUUGGUGGGGGGCGUGGGCGAAGUUCGUCCGCGGGACUCGGAAUAGCCCCAGACUUGGCGGGCGGCCUCCGUGUGCCAAAAAUUGGCCACGGGCACAGCCGCGCCCAAAAAUCAGCCCCCGAAGGUCGGGGUCCCAAGACCCCCCAGCGGAAAAAUGGCCAAGAAACGGGUGGGCUAUAGCCUUGGUGGGGGGCGUGGGCGAAGUUCGUCCGCGGGACUCGGAAUGGCCCCAGACUUGGCGGGCGGCCUCCGUGUGCCAAAAAUAGGCCACGGGCACAGCCGCACCCAAAAAUCAGCCCCCGAAGGUCGGGGUCCCAAGACCCCCCAGCGGAAAAAUGGCCAAGAAACGCAUGGGCUAUAGCCUUGGUGGGGGGCGUGGGCGAAGUUCGUCCGCGGGACUCGGAAUGGCCCCAGACUUGGCGGGCGGCCUCCGUGUGCCAAAAAUAGGCCACGGGCACAGCCGCGCCCAAAAAUCAGCCCCCGAAGGUCGGGGUCCCAAGACCCCCCAGCGGAAAAAUGGCCAAGAAACGCGUGGGCUAUAGCCUUGGUGGGGGGCGUGGGCGAAGUUCGUCCGCGGGACUCGGAAUGGCCCCAGACUUGGCGGGCGGCCUCCGUGUGCCAAAAAUAGGCCACGGGCACAGCCGCGCCCAAAAAUCAGCCCCCGAAGGUCGGGGUCCCAAGACCCCCCUGCGGAAAAAUGGCCAAGAAACGCGUGGGCUAUAGCCUUGGUGGGGGGCGUGGGCGAAGUUCGUCCGCGGGACUCGGAAUGGCCCCAGACUUGGCGGGCGGCCUCCGUGUGCCAAAAAUAGGCCACGGGCACAGCCGCGCCCAAAAAUCAGCCCCCGAAGGUCGGGGUCCCAAGACCCCCCAGCGGAAAAAUGGCCAAGAAACGCGUGGGCUAUAGCCUUGGUGGGGGGCGUGGGCGAAGUUCGUCCGCGGGACUCGGAAUGGCCCCAGACUUGGCGGGCGGCCUCCGUGUGCCAAAAAUAGGCCACGGGCACAGCCGCGCCCAAAAAUCAGCCCCCGAAGGUCGGGGUCCCAAGACCCCCCAGCGGAAAAAUGGGCCAAGAAACGGGUGGGCUAUAGCCUUUGGUAGGGGGCGUGGGCGAAGUUCGUCCGCGGGGACUCGGGAAAUGGCCCCCAGACUUGGCGGGCGGCCUCCGUGUGCCCAAA
rnacentral:lncRNA from 1 species